GCGGACAUAGUUUAAACCAAAACACCAGACUGUGACUCUGGAAACAGAGACUCUCCCC
rnacentral:tRNA from 1 species